rnacentral:tRNA from 2 species
GGGGGUGUAGCUCAUUUGGCAGAGCGCGUCAUUAGCAUCUUCUUGUAUAGGUCCUUUGACGAGGUACUGGGUUCAAUUCCCAGCUCCUCCA